ACAGAAAGUAGGUCUGGGCAACUGAACUUCCACGAAGGUCAAGGAUGGGCAGUAUAUCCAACUUAUUCUGGGUGGCAUCUUGUUACUUCUCUGAGACAGCAUCUACACAAUUCAAGGCAGAAAGGAGUGUUCUCACCAUAGCAGGUGUAGCCGUUGAGAGCAAGGCUUUGUGUCAGGCAGACCUGAGUCUGGUUCCAGCCCUCCCAGUUGUCACCUGUGGGACCUGGGGAAGUGAUUAAGAUACCCUGGACUCAGCUUCGUUGUCUGUAGAAUGGGAAUGUGACUGUUUGUAAGGUUUACAUUUGAUAAGGCUUAUAAAGAUCCUCCACUCCCCAGCUCAUGUCCCUUCGUGUUAUUUGCUCUAGUUCUCCUGUCUCACAGCAAGACAGCCAGCAGACCCAGUGCCACCAGCCAGUCUUGCUCCAUCUUUUGAAAUGGACACUGGAUGAGCAUGAAAUACUCCAGGACUCAAAAGAAGGAUAAGUUUCAAAAUCUGAAAUCUUGCAAGCUCGAGCUCAGCUCCUGUGGUUUGAACUUCAGAGCAUCUGUAAAGCCCACAAUCCUUGCAGAAGACUGUCCUCUUUCCCGGGAAGCCUCUGAUGCCCUGCUUUCAUUCAUUGGGGCCAUUUUCAUGAUCCUCUGUCCUUGACGUGGAGCACAGUCUGAUAUCAGCUUCAGGAUCAAGACUUCCCAGUACCUGAGGAUGGA